rnacentral:rRNA from 1 species
GAUGAACGCUGGCGGCGUGCCUAAUACAUGCAAGUCGAACGCGCAGCGAGAGGUGCUUGCACCUUUCAAGCGAGUGGCGAACGGGUGAGUAACACGUGGAUAACCUGCCUCAAGGCUGGGGAUAACAUUUGGAAACAGAUGCUAAUACCGAAUAAAACUUAGUAUCGCAUGAUAUCAAGUUAAAAGGCGCUACGGCGUCGCCUAGAGAUGGAUCCGCGGUGCAAUAGUUAGUUGGUGGGGUAAAGGCUUACCAAGACGAUGAUGCAUAGCCGAGGUGAGAGACUGAUCGGCCACAUUGGGACUGAGACACGGCCCAAACUCCUACGGGAGGCUGCAGUAGGGACUCUUCCACAAUGGGCGCAAGCCUGAUGGAGCAACGCCGCGUGUGUGAUGAAGGCUUUCGGGUCGUAAAACACUGUUGUAUGGGAAGAAAUGCUAAAAUAGGGAAUGAUUUUAGUUUGACGGUACCAUACCAGAAAGGGACGGCUAAAUACGCGCCAGCCGCCGCAGUAA